rnacentral:lncRNA from 1 species
AUAAAAAGACCAAAAAACAAACAAAAAAAACCCAAAAAACAAAAUUUCAUAACAUGUCUUUUUUUUUUUUUUAAUGAUUUUGUAUAAACACAUACCUAUGGAUGAGAACCUUUUUUUUUUUUUCUGUUAGGACUAUAAUAAAAGCAUCAAGCUCCAGUUGUUCUGCAUUCCUUUUGCAAGCACAUGUUUAAACAUUUUGUGUUUAGUACCAAAUCAUAGCCCGUAAUAAAAGAGCAAGCAGAUGGCUCUCUCCUGGUUAGGUGCUGAUGCUAAACCCAUCCCUUCUUUCUGACAACCGAGGCCAGCCUAGAAACUGCAGCUCCUCAGGAAAAUGUCUUUCUUUCCUCUACCUCUUGCCAUCAAGAAAAACUAGCUCAAAGGAAAUUUUUCCAGCACGGCGUUGGAAGAGGGGUCUGAAAAUCGUGUUGAAUCAUUGUGGAUAACUCAAGGAGAUGGCUUGUCCUCCUUUUCGAAUCCUGGGUUUCUACGAGAGGGAAAAAGACUUUUUUUUAUAGUCAAUUUCUGCAAAGAAUGCCUGGGAAUUGGGCUACAGUGCAAAGCUGCACGUGGGGGGGAGGCCUGUGAGGGCGGGGGAACGCCGCGGGCAGGGCAGACGUACAAAUAAUGAGUCAGGUUUAAAAGGCUGUGGUCAGACUCAAGGAGAGAGUGAUACGGAUCUUAUAGGAGAUGAGCUUGGACACCACACCAGCUGCCACGGGGUUUGAUUAAUGAGGUAUUAAGGAGAUCGAGUGACACUUACAGCUAGUUACUUAUGGUGCUAAUUUCAAAACACUUUGCAAUAGACAAAGAGAGUCUGCUCAUAAUGCAAAGUAAUUUGUGGUGUGUUCCUGGCGAAUGCAUUUAGCGAAGCAAAUAUAGUUAUGCAGAAUUUAAAUUAAGGUUGACACUAAUGUAAACAGAGCCCAAGAACCACUGUCCAAUAAUUUGAUGAGGACACAGGUUUUAAUCAAGCCUCUUCCACUAAAAUAGCAAUUUAAAUCCCCAUCGUUUAAACGGGAUAAAACGCUUAAGCCGUGAAUGUUGAGGGGAAAAAAUAAAAAUUUACUAGAAAAGAAAAAAGAAACACAAUAUCUCUGGGGAAACUGUGAUUAUACUUUGACACAACAGAGGGAUUUUCACGCCGACUUACAUAUCAGGUUGAUUUCAAGGCCAGAUUCUGGGAACUCGGAGGCAUUUUCCCUCGUUAUCUUUCUUGCUGUGAAGCGAUGGUUUCUGAAGUACGGAUCUCAGAAUGGAAGUGAUCUUGCUAUGAGAAAAUGGGGACAAUCUCUGCUGAUUCAGGGGCCCUGGAAGGAUGCGUCUUACUUACUAAAAGGAGAACUAUUGUCCCCUCGAACUGAUUUCUCAAUGGACUGAAGAUUUGCAAAUUGACUGGGGGUGUUGGGUGGGGGGCAGGCCAGGUGAGGGCUGGGGGCGUUCUCCUGAGGGUCAGCUUUGCCCUUUCCGGGAGGCUCACACUUACCAUAGCCAAGCUUUGCUGGUUUAUUUCUCUUCCCGAAAAUCACUGGGGCAGGGCGGGGGGGGCGGUCAGCCGGUCCCCCUUAAUUAAAAUGCCGGUGGCCCACGCUCCAGGGCUUGGAAAGCCUGUAUAUGGGAAACAAAACCCAACAGAACAGCAGCUCAGAAGGAGAAACAGAGGAAGGUCUGGCCACAUCUCCUAGGGUCUUCUGACGUCACUCUUGGCAAAGGAAGCUGGGAGGAUCCUAAAUUGUGAUCUGACCUUUGCAAAUCACAUUAAUGGUGCAUCUUUGGGGGACAGAACUUUGUACAAACAGGUGUGUUUUCAUACGUCAUUGGCCCUUUCAUAUGGCAGAAAGGGCCAAAAACUUUUUCACAGACAUGCUUUCAAGGUAAAGGGUGUGAAGAUGCUCCCCGCCAUAACAUCCACUCUCUCCCAGCUUGGGGACCCAGGGGGACAUGGAGACGGUCACCUUUUGGGGUCAGAGGACCAAGUGUUUGCUUCAUUCCCAGCCUCACCUCCACGGUCACAAAGUGGCCCUACGCGGUUCCAUCGCCUUCCCAAGGCCACGCGGGCAGCCAGGACAGGGCCUGUGUCCUCCUCCUCCUCGGCCCACAGGAAAGCCCCGUCCUCGCUCCAUAUUCACCCUGUGCGGUGCUCAGCGGUUCUCGUGCCCAUCUGGGGAAGACUCCACUUUGGGGUGUUUCCCAAGGGAAACCGACGGCUCAAACUCCCUGCCUCCGAAGCUGCCUGAGAGGGAGGAGGGGAAGGGAGAGGCGGUGCCCCCAACCCUGAGUCAGAGAAAACGACCUGAAAUGCAUCUGCGUGAAUCAGAGUGAGGGCGAGCUGCUGUCUGCAUCCAAGGAUACUGAUCUCGGGGUCCUCAUGUCGGAGGUGAGAGGGGCCAGUGGGGAGGUCCCAGCCUGGAUUCCCGCUGCCAGCAUCUCCUUUCUGCUGGACCAGCACAGAGAUGGCUUGCGAGAUGCAGAAAAGGAGUCAAGAAAGCAGCUGAGCCUGGACGGCCAGGCACUCCCAGAACCAGGUAGAAAGGAAAACAUUUUGUGGAGUUUGGCAAGCCUGGGGCUUUUCCAGGGCCUGUCUCAGCCUCCUCCCCUCCCCUCUGACCCGGGCUGGGACUGUGCAGGUCGUCCCCCAGGGCGCCAGGCACCUGCCAUUGACAUGGAAUGUGGAUUUCUGCCCCUGGGAAGUGGGGCACAGUCUCUCCUCACGGCUGUUCCUCAGCCCCAGGGUCAGGUGCAAAGCUGCUGCUCUGGCCACAGGCCCCCCUACUCAGGUCCUCUUGGGGUCCUGGCUGGUGGAGCCCUGCUGCCCAUGGCCUUGACCAGCCCAGGGCUGUUCCUCCUCCUGCUCAGCUCCCCAGCCCUCCCUCUGCCCGCUUCCAGGAUCUACAUGCUCUGGGUUUGAGGGACAACACAGAAGUUAUUCAGCUCCUCCCUUUGUUUUACCCUUUUUUUUUUUUUUUUUGGUUUUUUUUUUUUUUUAAGGCUGCACCUGCAGCAUAUGGAAGUUCCCAGGCUAGGGCGCUGGGGUCAGUUGAAUCAAAGCUGCAGCUGCCAGCUUAUUCCACAAACACAGCCACGCCAGACCCUCAACCAACUGAGUGAGGCCAGGGAUCAAACCCACAUCUUCAUGGAUCCUAGUCAGGUUCAUUACCACUGAGCCAGGACGGGAACUCCAUUUCACCCUUUUAGUCAAAAUACCGGAGGCCUUGGGCCAGGGCAGCAGCAUUCGUGUCACGCCCUCUCUGCAGCGACACCCGAUGCAGGAUUGACCCCAGCGCCCACUUCCAUCCUCUUUUCCCCUGACAUGGGCAAAAGUCUCAGAAGUGCCACCUCUUCUCUUUUGGCCUCUGUCUCUGUCUCUCUCCUUCUCUUCCAGGAGAUUAAAAAACAAAACAAAACAAAACACAAACAAACAAUUUUACAGACAACAGUUUUUAUAAAAGUUUCCUGAAAUGAGUGAUGCCGGGAUGUGUCCUUGACCCAUUUCUUGUUCUGGAAUUGGGGGAUGGGGGGAGAGGAUGUGAGCAGUUGGGUCACCAGGCUUGGGGGGGAAGGGGAGCCUGCAUUCACGGCCCCUUCUCUGGGAAGGAGCUCGGAACCUGUUUUUCCAGCCUUGCUUCUCCAUGGACCCUCAGCGCCAAUCCCAACAUGAACAAAGUUGCUAUGGUUUUUACGGUUAUCUGAAGAAUUCGUCUCAAGUGAGAUUCACAUACCAGCAGGGGCAGGUGCUGGGAUCCUGACAGCCAGCCGGCCACCCAGCCUCGCCAGUGCCACCGUCCACCUUGCGCAGCCGCUUACUUGCAAGGAACAGGACCCUGCGCUGCCAGCUCUGGCCCAGAGACCUCCCCCUACUUCUGCUGCAACAGAGAGGAGAUGACUAGGCUUUUCUUUCUUUCUUUUUUCUUUUUUUGGUCUUUUUAGGACUGCAUGCGUGGCAUAUGGAGGUUCCCAGGCUAGGGGUCUAACCGGAGCUGUAGUCGCCGUCCUACGCCAGAGCCACAGCAACGAGGGAUCCAAGCCAUGUCUGCGACCUAUACCACAGCUCACGGCAACGCCUGAUCCUUAACCCACUGAGCGAGGCCAGGGAUCGAACCUGCAACCUCAUGGUUCCUAGUCGGAUUUGUUAACCACUGAGCCACAACGGGAACUCCUGACUAGACUUUUGUCAUCACCUAUGCAGCAUUCCCUAUUGGCAGGAUGCUGAGUCCCUACAGCCCAGAGCAGGAGAUCCUCCGGACCGAGCCCAGGCCCCUCAGCAGCAGGCUGGCCACUGAGAGAACCGGGUCACCAGGGACAGGCUCUAUCCAGGGGUCAGCUGACCCCACAACCUAUUCCAGCGGAGCCUGCUGUUGUGUGCCUGUGACGGCUGUCCCUAGUCAUUGUGGACCUUUGUGGUCCGGUCUCCUCUCAGGGAGGUGGUUGGAAGGGGCAAGACCCCUGCCCUGCGUCCAGGGCAACUCUGCACCAAGAUGGAUAGAAAAGAUUGGCAAUGUCCACAGAUAAACAAGCUUAGUGACAGGCUCGGGGGAUUCUCCAUUGGAAUCUUAAACUAAACUGUGGACAUUUCAUCCGUUAUUUAUUCAUUUAUUGUUUUUUUUUUUUUGGCCAUGCAGUGAGAACAUGCGAUCCUUAACCCACUGAGCCACCAGGGAACUCCCAUAGCCUUUAUUCUGAUGUACUGCUUCUGAUAAGCAUUUUGGGGGCCACUUCUGGGACUGAGUGUUUUUUUUUUUUUUCUCAAGCCUUUAUUUCUAGAUUUUACCCCUUUAUCUCCUUUCCCUCUUCCUCUCCUCCAGGACCCAGAUGUGGACUCCCACGCUUGUGUCCCCGUUGCUCCUCCUGCCUCAGCCCUGCAGGCUGUGCCAUGCUCCAAAUCAUUAAUAGCACUGAUUGCAGAGAAGAACCCACAAUUUUUACUUAUCCUACAGAACUCUUUGUAUGGGCAGGUCACCAGCAGCUCCCCCACCCCUGUGUAUUUCCUUAACCAUUCAUUGCUCUGACUCUGAAGCAUGUGGGUAUUUUUCAGAUAAAUAGGUUAAUAUUUUAUUCCCUUAAAAUGCUAUAGGGCACAUGGCUUGGUGUUCUAGAAUAUUCCCUACCGAAGGAUCUCCUUGCUAUGCACUAGCAGUUUUGAAGAAGUAUCUUGGAAUACUGAUGGCCUGGGGAUGUUGCCAGGGUUACCUGAGCACAUCAGUGUCUGCAAAGUCAGAGCCACACCCCCUGGGAGGUCCAUCGGCUUAAACCAGCAGGACAGUCUUCAUGUUCUUGUGAACUUUCCAAUUCAUACACUUUACUUGAGAUUCUACCGGUCAAGGUGUUGGCAACACCUCAACUCUCCCUUCCCUUAAUUAUUUACCAAACCCU